ensembl:snoRNA LOC120102628 small nucleolar RNA SNORA3/SNORA45 family
AUCCUGAUAUGGUACUUUGGUACUUUUCCCAGUGCUCCAGAGUUCUGGAAUAGCAUCUGCGAGUCUUGAUUCACUGGUGGGAGCCUUCAGGGCCCCAGUUAGUGCCCAGACCAGAAACAUAU